CCCUUAGAUGUUCUGGGCCGCACGCGCGCUACACUGAUGCAUUCAACGAGCCUAUCCUUGACCGACAGGUCCGGGUAAUCUUUGAAUCUGCAUCGUGACGGGGAUAGAUUAUUGCAAUUAUUAAUCUUCAACGAGGAAUGCCUAGUAGGCGCAAGUCAUCAGCUUGCGUCGAUUACGUCCCCGCCCUUUGUACACACCGCCCGUCGCUCCUACCGAUUGGGUGUGCUGGUGAAAUGUUCGGAUCGGCCGUUUGUCGCGGUUUCCGCGGCUCGUGGCUGAGAAGUUCAUUAAACCCUCCCACCUAGAGGAAGGAGAAGUCGCAACA
rnacentral:rRNA from 1 species